rnacentral:rRNA from 1 species
UGAUCAUGGCUCAGAUUGAACGCUGGCGGCAGGCUUAACACAUGCAAGUCGAACGAUGACUCUCUAGCUUGCUAGAUAUGAUUAGUGGCGGACGGGUGAGUAACAUUUGGGAAUCUGCCUAGUAGUGGGGGAUAGCUCGGGGAAACUCGAAUUAAUACCGCAUACGACCUACGGGUGAAGGGGGGCGCAAGCUCUUGCUAUUAGAUGAGCCUAAAUCAGAUUAGCUAGUUGGUGGGGUAAAGGCCUACCAAGGCGACGAUCUGUAACUGGUCUGAGAGGAUGAUCAGUCACACCGGAACUGAGACACGGUCCGGACUCCUACGGGAGGCAGCAGUGGGGAAUAUUGGACAAUGGGGGCAACCCUGAUCCAGCCAUGCCGCGUGUGUGAAGAAGGCCUUUUGGUUGUAAAGCACUUUAAGCAGGGAGGAGAGGCUAAUGGUUAAUACCCAUUAGAUUAGACGUUACCUGCAGAAUAAGCACCGGCUAACUCUGUGCCAGCAGCCGUGGUAAUACAGAGGGUGCGAGCGUUAAUCGGAAUUACUGGGCGUAAAGCGAGUGUAGGUGGCUCAUUAAGUCACAUGUGAAAUCCCCGGGCUUAACCUGGGAACUGCAUGUGAUACUGGUGGUGCUAGAAUAUGUGAGAGGGAAGUAGAAUUCCAGGUGUAGCGGUGAAAUGCGUAGAGAUCUGGAGGAAUACCGAUGGCGAAGGCAGCUUCCUGGCAUAAUAUUGACACUGAGAUUCGAAAGCGUGGGUAGCAAACAGGAUUAGAUACCCCUGGUAGUCCACGCCGUAAACGAUGUCUACUAGCCGUUGGGGGUCCUUGAGACUUUAGUGGCGCAGUUAACGCGAUAAGUAGACCGCCUGGGGAGUACAGCCGCAAGGUUAAAACUCAAAUGAAUUGACGGGGGCCCGCACAAGCGGUGGAGCAUGUGGUUUAAUUCGAUGCAACGCGAAGAACCUUACCUGGUCUUGACAUAGUGAGAAUCCUGCAGAGAUGCGGGAGUGCCUUCGGGAAUUCACAUACAGGUGCUGCAUGGCUGUCGUCAGCUCGUGUCGUGAGAUGUUGGGUUAAGUCCCGCAACGAGCGCAACCCUUUUCCUUAUUUGCCAGCGGGUUAAGCCGGGAACUUUAAGGAUACUGCCAGUGACAAACUGGAGGAAGGCGGGGACGACGUCAAGUCAUCAUGGCCCUUACGACCAGGGCUACACACGUGCUACAAUGGUAGGUACAGAGGGUUGCUACACAGCGAUGUGAUGCUAAUCUCAAAAAGCCUAUCGUAGUCCGGAUUGGAGGCUGCAACUCGACUCCAUGAAGUCGGAAUCGCUAGUAAUCGCAGAUCAGAAUGCUGCGGUGAAUACGUUCCCGGGCCUUGUACACACCGCCCGUCACACCAUGGGAGUCUAUUGCACCAGAAGUAGGUAGCCUAACGAAAGAGGGCGCUUACCACGGUGUGGUCGAUGACUGGGGUGAAGUCGUAACAAGGUA